rnacentral:rRNA from 1 species
UACGUAGGGUGCGAGCGUUGUCCGGAAUCAUUGGGCGUAAAGCGCGCGUAGGCGGCCCGAUCAGUCCGCUGUAAAAGUCCAGGGCUCAACCCUGGAAGCCGGUGGAUACUGUCGGGCUAGAGUCCGGAAGAGGCGAGUGGAAUUCCUGGUGUAGCGGUGGAAUGCGCAGAUAUCAGGAGGAACACCGAUGGCGAAGGCAGCUCGCUGGGACGGUACUGACGCUGAGGC